rnacentral:rRNA from 1 species
UACGUAGGGUGCGAGCGUUAAUCGGAAUUACUGGGCGUAAAGUGUGCGCAGGCGGCAGAGCAAGUCGAGUGUGAAAGCCCCGGGCUUAACUUGGGAAUUGCGCUCGAAACUACUUUGCUGGAGUGUGGCAGAGGAAGGUGGAAUUCCACGUGUAGCGGUGAAAUGCGUAGAGAUGUGGAGGAACACCAAUGGCGAAGGCAGCCUUCUGGGCC